GACGAACGCUGGCGGCGUGCCUAAUACAUGCAAGUCGAACGGAAAGGCGCUUUGCUUGGUCCACGAACGGUAGCGGCGGACGGGAGAGUAACGUGAGGAUACCAUACCUAUGAGACUAGGCUAACUAAGUGGAACCGAUGCUAAUACCGGGUAAUAUCUUGAACCGCGUGGUUCAAUAGUUCAAGACGGUUUUGCUGUCCCUUCUAGCUGUAUCCGCGCCGCAUUGGCUAGUUGGUAAGGUAACGGCUUAGGAAGGCAGCGCUGGGUAGCCGACCUGAGAGGGUGAACGGCGACACUGGAACUGAGACACGGCCCAGAGUCCGACGGGAGGCAGCAGCAGGGAAUCGUCCGAGAUGGGCGGAAGCUUGCCGGAGCAACGCCGCGCGAGUGAUGAAGGGCCUCGGGUCGUAAAACUCUGUUAUGAGGGAAGAACAAAUGUGUAAGUAACUAAGCACGUCUUGACGGUACCUAAUCAGAAAGCCACGGCUAACUACGUG
rnacentral:rRNA from 1 species